rnacentral:misc_RNA from 1 species
GAUUAACACCAUAAUUCUUAUCAAGAGUAUUUAGACUCCUGAAACAGUUCAAAAGACACUACUACAAUGCACAAGUCAUUUUAAAGAUGUCGAACCACCAAAUUACUUGACCAUACAGAUGCUCUAACAACCGAGACUUUGCUAGUUUUUAGGUGCCAGACCUAACAGCAGGUGACAUUAGAUAGUAGGUGGGUACUGCUUGGUCUGCAGUAGAACCCGUCUCUUGUACUCUACUGGAUCCUGGACAAAGAGCUGAUAGCCCUCGGUCUGUGCUGGAUCCGCAGGAUUAGGUUGGUCCAGUAAAUCCUGUAUUCCAACCAGAAUCUGCUUCACGGUGAUAGCUGGUCUCCAGCCACUGUCCUCAUUGAGAAUUGACAGGCAUACCGUUCCAGACGGAUAGACAUUUGGAUGGAAAAAACCUGGUGGGAACUUGCACUUAGGAGGUUUGCUGGGGUAGUCCUCGGUGAAGUUGAG